rnacentral:rRNA from 1 species
GACGAACGCUGGCGGCGUGCUUAACACAUGCAAGUCGAACGAAGUGGCGAACGGGUGAGUAACGCGUAAUCAACCUGCCCUUCAGAGGGGGACAACAGUUGGAAACGACUGCUCAUACCGCAUACUGAAGGAGGGGACUGGGUCUGAUUAGCUAGUUGGAGGGGUAACGGCCCACCAAGGCGAUGAUCAGUAGCCGGUCUGGGAGGUGGGACGGCCACAGUGGGACUUGGAACCGGCCCAAACUCCUACGGGAGGCAGCAGUGGGGAAACUUCCGCAAUGGGCGAAAGUCUGACGGAGCAACGCCGCGUGAGUGAUGACGGCCUUCGGGUUGUAAAGCUCUGUUAAUCGGGACGCGGUACCGGAAUAGAAAGCCACGGCUAACUACGUGCCAGCAGCCGCGGUAAUAC